rnacentral:rRNA from 1 species
GACGAACUCUGGCGGCGUGCUUAACACAUGCAAGUCGAACGAUGAAGCCGGAGCUUGCUCUGGUGAAUUAGUGGCGAACGGGUGAGUAACACGUUAGUAACCUGCCCUUGACUCUGGGAUAACUGCGGGAAACUGUAGCUAAUACCGGAUACGACCCUCGGAGGCAUCUCCUGGGGGUGGAAAGAAUUUCGGUCAAGGAUGGACUCGCGGCCUAUCAGCUAGUUGGUGAGGUAAAGGCUCACCAAGGCGACGACGGGUAGCCGGCCUGAGAGGGUGAACGGCCACACUGGGACUGAGACACGGCCCAGACUCCUACGGGAGGCAGCAGUGGGGAAUAUCGCACAAUGGGCGCAAGCCUGUUGCAGCAACGCCGCGUGAGGGAUGACGGCCUUCGGGUUGUAAACCUCUUUUAGCAGGGAAGAAGCGAAAGUGACGGUACCUGCAGAAAAAGCACCGGCUAACUACGUGCCAGCCGCCGCCGUAA